rnacentral:rRNA from 1 species
GACGUAGGGCGCGAGCGUUGUCCGGAUUUAUUGGGCGUAAAGAGCUCGGAGGCGGCUUGUCGCGUCGACUGUGAAAACCCGUGGCUCAACCAUGUGGUCUGCAGUCGAUACGGGCAGGCUAGAAUUCGGUAGGGGAGACUGGAAUUCCUGGUGUAGCGGUGGAAUGCGCAGAUAUCAGGAGGAACACCGAUGGCGAAGGCAGGUCUCUGGGCCACUACUGACGCUGAGAAGCGAAAGCAUGGGGAGCGAACAGG